rnacentral:rRNA from 1 species
AUGGCCCCCGUAGCCCCCGCCGCCUCCCCCGCCGCCGCCCCUCCCCCUCCCCCUCCCAGCCCGGCCGGGGAUGAAGGCCCUGACCCAGAUCCCGACCCGCGCUCCUCUUCGGCGGUCNNNNNNNNNNNNNNNNNNNNNNNNNNNNNNNNNNNNNNNNNNNNNNNNNNNNCCGCCCCGGACCUGGCCGCUCCGGCCCCUGCGGCUCCGACCCCGGCGCCCGCCGCUCUGGCCCCGACCGCCCCGGCUUGGGUGGAGGUUGGGAGACGGCGCCGCCCGAGCCUGGAGAAGGUGGCUGCUCCCCCUCCCAGGAAGGAUGCUGGACUGCCUCGCACUUUCAAGCAGAGGACUUUCGGCCUCUGCUUUCGGUGCUUGGCGUCGGACCACUUCGUCGCGGGCUGCCGUGGCCCUGUCCGGUGCUUGGGAUGUGGCCACUCCGGCCAUCGCGAGCGGGAGUGCUUGGCACGGCAUCCUGCCGACAACCCUGCGACUGAUGGUGUCGUGCCGGCGGCUGUCCCCGGCGUGCCUCCUGCUGUUUUGGAGCCCUUGCGGCCUCUCCUUGCAGCUCAGGCGGAGGCGCUCGGCGCUGAGUUACAGGCCUUGUUCGCUGCUCGUCUUGAGGUGUUGUUCAAGCCUCUUCAAGACUUGGUUGCUGCUGUGGAGAGUUGGACUGCUCAAGUCUCAAGCCUAUGGGAACCUAUGGAAGCUAUCGGGGGCAGCCAAGACCUUGCCAAUGUUGAAUCUGCUCCUCCUGCUGUGGCCGUUGGUGAGGAUUGCAGUGCGCUUGUUGUGGCUGGCUGCUCAGCUGAGUUGAGUGAGAAGGCUCAGUCCGUUGAUGAUCAGCCUGCCUUGGAAAAGGUCAUGCUCGAGGAUGAUCCUCCUGACUUGGCUUCUGUCCUACCCGGGAUGUCGACACUGGAGGAGCCGAAGGUUUCCAGUGCUCCUUGCACCGGGAAGCCUUCAAAGGAGCUGAUCCAGAUGGGUGCAGAUGAGCCUCUUGGGAGAGCCUCCUCUCCGUGGGGGGAGUUCCUCGAAGAGCUUGCUCUCACUGUGUCGAGCUCGCCGCAAGUUUUGCAGGUGGGAGAGGCUGCCCCUUCUCUCUUUGAGCGACGAAGCUGCCGUUUGGACAAGAAAAACAAAGAUUGCGACAUUCCUGUAGCCAAGCGCGCGGAGUAUAGGCGGGCGGAGGCCUUUGGAGAGGUUCCAACACUCAAGAGCAAAGGAAAAGCAUCUGAGGAAGACCUGAAUGAGAAGAUGCAACACUAUCUGCAGAUGUACAAGAAGGAACACACGCCCAAGGUGAUCGAGGCGGUGCGCGCAUUAGUUCAGGCCAAUGCUUGA